rnacentral:SRP_RNA from 2 species
CGCCGGGAACUGCGCGGCGAGUUCACGGUGAAUUCCGCCAGGGCCGGAAGGCAGCAAUGGUAAGCCGACGGAUUCGGGCGACGCAAUCUUCCCGGCGUUC